rnacentral:rRNA from 1 species
UACGAAGGGGGCUAGCGUUGCUCGGAAUCACUGGGCGUAAAGGGUGCGUAGGUGGUCAGGUAAGUCGGAUGUGAAAUCUCCGAGCUCAACUCGGAAACUGCAUUGGAAACUACCUGGCUCGAGGGUUGGAGGGGGGACUGGAAUGCUUGGUGUAGCAGUGAAAUGCGUAGAUAUCAAGCGGAACACCAGUGGCGAAGGCGAGUCCCUGGACAACUCCUGACACUGAUGCACGAAAGCUAGGGGAGCAAACAGG